AUCGUUGCCCGAUGCCUAUUGCAGUGCAAUAGGAAUUUCUAGGGCGAAUGAUGGCUUCCCGUGAGCGUUGUUGCCUCGCGGUUGGUUGAAAAUCGAGUCCUUGGUGGGGUGUGCCAUGAUAGAUGGUGGUCGAGUUAGCACGAUACCGAUCGUGUGCAUGCUCCCCAAAAUAUGGCCUCUAUGACCCACACGCGUCUUUUGACGCACA
rnacentral:misc_RNA from 1 species